GUUAGCUCAUUGUUACAUCAAGGAAGGAACUGAUAUAUACCAGAAUUAGAAGACAAAGCUUUCUGUUGUAGAUGGGGAAAGAGGCACCUCUAUCCCCUCUAUAGUUCCUGACUAUACCAGAACUCUCACCAGCAACUGUUUACUGUGAGCCACAAAGCAUAUAGGAAAUCAAGAUACUUGCUACAUUUUGGUAUUCUCUACUGCUGGUUUAUUUGUGAGGCUCAAGAUCCCUGGUCUGCACAUAUCCCUCUAUAUGGUGAGAUGCUUUCGUAAACUACCUCAUCACUAUCUUAUCGAAUAAGAGAGUAAAAGUCCUGGAAUCAACACUUUUGAGACUGAGUCUGAGACUGAGAAGAAAGGACAAAGCUGACCCAUUCCUCCCAGGCAGAGCUCUCAGGAUUUGGUCUCAUGGUGAUGCCUCCAUUGCAGCGCAGCUUACAGCCUCAAUGAACAUGUCUGGAUCAGGAUCUUCUUCUGAGUCAGUAAGGGAAUUCAUUCUUCUGGGUUUUCCCUGCAGCAAGGAGAUUCAAGUUGUUGUUCUCAAUCACCUAUCCUGACUCUCAUGGGAAAUGGAGCUAUUAUUGGUGCUGUGUGUUGGG